rnacentral:rRNA from 1 species
UACAGAGGGUGCAAGCGUUAAUCGGAUUUACUGGGCGUAAAGCGCGCGUAGGUGGCCAAUUAAGUCAAAUGUGAAAUCCCCGAGCUUAACUUGGGAAUUGCAUUCGAUACUGGUUGGCUAGAGUAUGGGAGAGGAUGGUAGAAUUCCAGGUGUAGCGGUGAAAUGCGUAGAGAUCUGGAGGAAUACCGAUGGCGAAGGCAGCCAUCUGGACUAAUACUGACACUGAGGUGCGAAAGCAUGGGGAGCAAACAGG